GGAUCAAUUUAUUGGUCGUGCUAUUGUACGUACUGGUAUUAUUGAUUCCUACCUUCUGACGAACCAUGAUGUCAUUAAUUUGGUGUCAUGGGGAAUCAGGACUGUUACUUUGAAAAAAUUAGAGUGUUCAAAGCGGGCGCACGCUCGAAUAGAUUAGCAUGGAAUAAUGGAAUAGGACCU
rnacentral:rRNA from 1 species